UUUUCUCAUAUAGUCAGCAUACGCCGCAACACGCGGGCGGCGUACCGUACAGAGAGAAGAAAAGGGGCAUAUUUCCCUGCUUGCAGCGAUGCGAGCAAAACAAAAAUUUCCAUGAAUACGGUUAGUAGCAAAAGCAAAGGGCGUAACGCAUGG
rnacentral:ncRNA from 12 species